ensembl:lncRNA novel transcript, antisense to C7orf33 and CNTNAP2
ACAUUAUCAUGAAAGUUGCUUCUUUUGCUGAACAGUAUAUCUUGGAGGGUUUUGCUUUCUUGCCCAGGCUGGAGUACAGUGGCGCCACCCUAGCUCACUGCAGCCUUGAACUCCUGAGCUCAAGCAAUCCUUCGGCCUCAGCCUCCCAGGCUUUGGCGUCUCCAAGUACCUGACCUCAGCUCAACCUGUCUUGGGUUUUCUUCUCCUCCCUGACAUUGACAACCCAGCCCUCCUAGGCACAGAGAGAUGGAGCUGAGUGUGGUUUUCCUGAAAUAAAGCUUGCAUUAUGAGAGGGAAUAAACAGAAGAAAAAAAUAUGUCUGAGGCGCAUGGCCCCGGGAGAGGAGGAGAAUGGGACGGUGGUUCAGAUCUGCUGAUGUAGCUGUGGUCAGUCACUGGGGAGAAUAGGCCUGUGGAUUUCUGCUCCUCUGAGAUGGAUCCAUCACUGACUACUGAACUUGUUUUCUCAUUGGCUCAACUUAAGAAGGUUCUAGAGGGAACUGACUUCUUCCUCCUCAUGGUCCACUUGAAAUUCCAGGAAAAGGAACAGAUGUGCAAGGAAUUGCAGCCUGGAGAAACAUAGUGUAUUUGGAGACUUGCAUGUAAAUGGAUAAGUAGGUGUAGGAGGAGAAGCUGGGUCACAUUUUCCUAAAUUUUAUUCCACAAAACACUAGUUCUGUGAGACGCUCUAUGGAAAUUGGUCCCAUGAUCAGUACAUUUGGGGCAUGCUGCAUGUUGUAUUCCCUGUUGUCUUAUAUUGGAUUUCCUAAAAAUAGACUCUGAGGUGGAGACUUAUGUGCAGAAGGUCUCUUGGCGAAUGCUCCAGGGAGGCGUGCGUGUAAGGAAGUGAGACAGACCCACCUCAGGCCCCUGGGACUUCCACUGGCCAGACGCCCUGUGCCUACUUGUGUCAUGGGAUACAGGGCCCAUCUCUUCCCAUCUCCACACUCUGACCACACGCUAGUAGCUUGAAAUCAGCCAUGGUGCAACUAUUGGCAUCACAAAAAUGGACAAAUGCUUCAAACUGGGGCCUGACUUAUUGUUUUGUUGAUUGCCAGGCUUAAAAAGUGAUGGAAAGGAUGCUAAUAAUGCAUAUUAAACCAAAAAAGUGCGUCAUGUCUGUAGCUGUGACAUUGUGAAUAGCACAAGCAUUGAGGUUACAUGCUUCUGAUAUUUGAAAACCCUUAUUGGAUUCAACAAAGAAUUCACUCAUGUCAUUGUCUAUCAGGUGAAGCUCUGAUGCACAUUUUUUGCUUUCACUUUUGCCUUAUUCAUUAAUAUAAACAGAAUGUCAAUCAAC